AGAGGUCCUGGCCGAGCUGGCGUCCAUGGCGGUGGCUGCAUCUGAAACCGAUUCCAGAGACCCGUCUGUGAAGCCCUCAGAAGAGGCCUCUCAGGAGUCCUCGAUGCCGUGGAAGCUGUGAUAGCCUCCAUAAAGCCACAAUCCGAGGCAGAGACACCAACUGGUACUGAUUCUAGUAGCCAGGGCGGAUACUAGUGCAGGCGCUGAAGGUGAUGCCGAUGGUGACAGCGAGGGUGAUGCAGCUGACACAGGCAAUGAAACCACGAGGAACGACCAGGCCAGCGGGACUGCGGAAGUAGGAGGGCCGAAGACCCCCAGCAGCAACACCUCCACCACUACUACUAAUUCACCAAUCGAAGCGGCAGUCGCUGACGAAGGUGAUCAGGAGACCUCUGAAGAACCAGACACGAAGGAACCCGAGGAGA